UUGCAAAUAUUUGGAUGUGAAAAUCCCUUGAAUUUUAGAAAUCCCCUGUUUGUUUAAAAGGAUUUCAAUGGUCCUUGUAUUUUCAGAUCCCAAAAAUGAGGGAUUUUGGAAUUCGGCCAAAAUAGCCGAAUUCCAAAAUCCAUGACAAAAGAAUCCAUCACAUGGGACUCACGUGAGGGAUUCACGGGAUUUGUGCUCGUCCUCCAUCCACGGUCCUCCCCCUUCUUCUCAUCGCUGGCCUUUCUCAUCCGAAAUAUUCUCUUCCUAUUGCGCAUCGUUGGUCGAGCAACAACGGCGACAGCUUGAUUUUUUUGGGUGAUAUUUUUGAACGAGUUGACGAAGAGUGCGGUGCCGGCGCCGGCCGAGGAGCAAAGGUGAGAAAUCUAACAUUCUUCUUGCUCGUCUACUUCUCAUCUUCUUUUUCUCUUUUGGCUGUUUUUAUUUUUCAAUUUUUUUUUGGAUAUUUUCCUAUUUUUAUGGAUAUUUUUCAAUUUUUUUUUAUUUUUCAUGUCCUUGUUUCCGAAGGGUAAGCGAACUCCUCACUCUGAUUCGAUCCAAGUCUCGAAUUCCUAUUCUUUUUUUUUUGCUUUGAUGUGAUUUCGUCUUUGAUUUUGGUUAUUGGAAAAGGAUUGUUCUGUUGUCCGAUCUGGAGUUAUUUGAUGCUAUUUUUUUUCUUUGUUUUUCUGGUUUGAUGGUCACAUGUUAUUGAUCUGAAGAAAGUGCUGUUCUAAGGUUUGAUUUGAGUUU